rnacentral:rRNA from 1 species
CAGCACCUCAAGUGGUCAGGAUGAUUAUUGGGCCUAAAGCAUCCGUAGCCGGUUCUACAAGUCUUCCGUUAAAUCCACCUGCUUAACAGAUGGGCCGCGGAGGAUACUAUAAGACUAGGAGGCAGGAGAGGCAAGCGGUACUCAGUGGGUAGGGGUAAAAUCCGUUGAUCCAUUGAAGACCACCAGUGGCGAAGGCGGCUUGCCAGAAUGCGCUCGACGGUGAGGGAUGAAAGCUGGGGGAGCAAACCGGAUUAGAGACCCGAGUAGUCC